rnacentral:rRNA from 1 species
UACGUAGGGUCCGAGCGUUGUCCGGAAUUAUUGGGCGUAAAGGGCUCGUAGGCGGUUUGUCGCGUCGGGAGUGAAAACUCAGGGCUCAACCCUGAGCGUGCUUCCGAUACGGGCAGACUAGAGGUAUGCAGGGGAGAACGGAAUUCCUGGUGUAGCGGUGGAAUGCGCAGAUAUCAGGAGGAACACCGGUGGCGAAGGCGGUCUCUGGGCAUUACCUGACGCUGAGGAGCGAAAGUGUGGGGAGCGAACAGG